UGAACCAGCCAAGUAGCGUGAAGGAUGACUGCCCUAUGGGUUGUAAACUUCUUUUAUAAAGGAAUAAAGUCGGGUAUGUAUACCCGUUUGCAUGUACUUUAUGAAUAAGGAUCGGCUAACUCCGUGCCAGCAGCCGCGGUAAUACGGAGGAUCCGAGCGUUAUCCGGAUUUAUUGGGUUUAAAGGGAGCGUAGGCGGAUUAUUAAGUCAGCUGUGAAAGUUUGCGGCUCAACCGUAAAAUUGCAGUUGAUACUGGUCGUCUUGAGUGCAGUAGAGGUAGGCGGAAUUCGUGGUGUAGCGGUGAAAUGCUUAGAUAUCACGAAGAACUCCGAUUGCGAAGGCAGCCUGCUAAGCUGCAACUGACAUUGAGGCUCGAAAGUGUGGGUAUCAAACAGGAUUAGAUACCCUGGUAGUCCACACGGUAAACGAUGAAUACUCGCUGUUUGCGAUAUACAGCAAGCGGCCAAGCGAAAGCGUUAAGUAUUCCACCUGGGGAGUACGCCGGCAACGGUGAAACUCAAAGGAAUUGACGGGGGCCCGCACAAGCGGAGGAACAUGUGGUUUAAUUCGAUGAUACGCGAGGAACCUUACCCGGGCUUGAACUGCAGGCGAACGAUUCAGAGAUGAUGAGGCCCUUCGGGGCGCCUGUGGAGGUGCUGCAUGGUUGUCGUCAGCUCGUGCCGUGAGGUGUCGGCUUAAGUGCCAUAACGAGCGCAACCCUUGUUGUCAGUUACUAACAGGUCAUGCUGAGGACUCUGACAAGACUGCCAUCGUAAGAUGUGAGGAAGGUGGGGAUGACGUCAAAUCAGCACGGCCCUUACGUCCGGGGCUACACACGUGUUACAAUGGGGGGUACAGAAGGCAGCUACACGGCGACGUGAUGCUAAUCCCGAAAGCCUCUCUCAGUUCGGAUUGGAGUCUGCAACCCGACUCCAUGAAGCUGGAUUCGCUAGUAAUCGCGCAUCAGCCACGGCGCGGUGAAUACGUUCCCGGGCCUUGUACACACCGCCCGUCAAGCCAUGGGAGCCGGGGGUACCUGAAGUCCGUAACCGCAAGGAUCGGCCUAGGGUAAAACUGGUGACUGGGGCUAAGUCGUAACAAGGUAGCCGUACCGGAAGGUGCGGCUG
rnacentral:rRNA from 1 species